GGGUUGUGAGGUUAAGCGACUAAGCGUACACGGUGGAUGCCCUGGCAGUCAGAGGCGAUGAAGGGCGUGCUAAUCUGCGAUAAGCGCCGGUAAGGUGAUAUGAACCGUUAUAACCGGCGAUACCCGAAUGGGGAAACCCAGUGUGAUUCGUCACACUAUCAUUAACUGAAUCCAUAGGUUAAUGAGGCGAACCGGGGGAACUGAAACAUCUAAGUACCCCGAGGAAAAGAAAUCAACCGAGAUUCCCCCAGUAGCGGCGAGCGAACGGGGAGGAGCCCAGAGCCUGAAUCAGCAUGUGUGUUAGUGGAAGCGUCUGGAAAGGCGCGCGAUACAGGGUGACAGCCCCGUACACAAAAGCGCAUGUGCUGUGAGCUCGAUGAGUAGGGCGGGACACGUGGUAUCCUGUCUGAAUAUGGGGGGACCAUCCUCCAAGGCUAAAUACUCCUGACUGACCGAUAGUGAACCAGUACCGUGAGGGAAAGGCGAAAAGAACCCCGGCGAGGGGAGUGAAAAAGAACCUGAAACCGUGUACGUACAAGCAGUGGGAGCCCCACCACUAAGCCAGUGGUGAACUCCACAUCCGCAUCCUUUGCUGAGGAUACGGUUAACGGAGCGAAAGCGACGUUCAACCGCAAAACAAGCAGAGGGGGCUUAGUGGUGGGGUGACUGCGUACCUUUUGUAUAAUGGGUCAGCGACUUAUAUUCUGUAGCAAGGUUAACCGUAUAGGGGAGCCGGAGGGAAACCGAGUCUUAAUUGGGCGUUAAGUUGCAGGGUAUAGACCCGAAACCCGGUGAUCUAGCCAUGGGCAGGUUGAAGGUUGGGUAACACUAACUGGAGGACCGAACCGACUAAUGUUGAAAAAUUAGCGGAUGACCUGUGGCUGGGGGUGAAAGGCCAAUCAAACCGGGAGAUAGCUGGUUCUCCCCGAAAGCUAUUUAGGUAGCGCCUCGUGAAUUCAUCUCCGGGGGUAGAGCACUGUUUCGGCUAGGGGGCCAUCCCGGCUUACCAACCCGAUGCAAACUGCGAAUACCGGAGAAUGUUAUCACGGGAGACACACGGCGGGUGCUAACGUCCGUCGUGAAGAGGGAAACAACCCAGACCGCCAGCUAAGGUCCCAAAGUCAUGGUUAAGUGGGAAACGAUGUGGGAAGGCCCAGACAGCCAGGAUGUUGGCUUAGAAGCAGCCAUCAUUUAAAGAAAGCGUAAUAGCUCACUGGUCGAGUCGGCCUGCGCGGAAGAUGUAACGGGGCUAAACCAUGCACCGAAGCUGCGGCAGCGAACGUAUCACCCAAGACAACUUUACGGAGUUGACGAUUGACGGAGCGAAGCGACGUCAAAGCGUUCAUUAAAGUCGAGUUGGCUUAGGGAUACGUUCGUUGGGUAGGGGAGCGUUCUGUAAGCCUGUGAAGGUGUGUCGUGAGGCAUGCUGGAGGUAUCAGAAGUGCGAAUGCUGACAUAAGUAACGAUAAAGCGGGUGAAAAGCCCGCUCGCCGGAAGACCAAGGGUUCCUGUCCAACGUUAAUCGGGGCAGGGUGAGUCGACCCCUAAGGCGAGGCCGAAAGGCGUAGUCGAUGGGAAACGGGUUAAUAUUCCCGUACUUGGUGUUACUGCGAAGGGGGGACGGAGAAGGCUAUGUUGGCCGGGCGACGGUUGUCCCGGUUUAAGCGUGUAGGUGUGUGUUCCAGGUAAAUCCGGUUCACUUUAACACUGAGGCGUGACGACGAGGCACUACGGUGCUGAAGCAACAAAUGCCCUGCUUCCAGGAAAAGCCUCUAAGCAUCAGGUAACAC
rnacentral:rRNA from 1 species